UCGUAAGUCGUCGCGCAGGAGGCCCUUCGCGGCGGCGAGCUUCGUUCGUCCCAUAUGGAUGCGACGAAGUUUCACCAGAAAAAGGAA
rfam:Pseudomonas putida CSV86 contig00212, whole genome shotgun sequence.